rnacentral:rRNA from 1 species
UACGAAGGGGGCUAGCGUUGUUCGGAUUUACUGGGCGUAAAGCGCGUGUAGGCGGGUCGUUAAGUUGGGGGUGAAAUCCCGAGGCUCAACCUCGGAACUGCCUUCAAAACUGGCGACCUGGAGCAAAGAAGAGGCGAGUGGAAUUGCGAGUGUAGAGGUGAAAUUCGUAGAUAUUCGCAGGAACACCGGUGGCGAAGGCGGCAUCCUGGACCGAGACUGACGCUGAGGAGCGAAAGCGUGGGGAGCGAACAGG